rnacentral:rRNA from 1 species
CAUGUCCUUUUGAUAAUAAUUUAAGGUCUGGUCUGCUCAAUGAAAAUUUAAAUUGCCGCGGUAUUCUGACCGUGCAAAGGUAGCAUAAUAAUUAGUUUUUUUAUUGAAAGCUGGAAUGAAUGAUUGGACGAGAAAACAACUGUCUCUUUAAAAAUUUUUGUUUAAUUUAACUUUUAAGUAAGAAGGCUUAGAUAUUUAUUAAAGACGAGAAGACCCUAUAGAGUUUUAUAUUUAUUGAGUAAUAAUUUAUUUGGAAUUUUUUAUUUUUUUAUUUUUUAAUUAUUUGGUUGGGGUGACUAAAAGAUUUAUUAAACUCUUUUAAUUUUGUUAUCAUUGAUUUGUGAAUUGAUUAUCUAGAUUUUUUAAAUUUAAGAUAAAUUACCUUAGGGAUAACAGCGUAAUUUCUUUUUAGAGUUCUUAUCAAUAAAGAAGUUUGCGACCUCGAUGUUGGAUUAAAAUUUAUUUUUGGUGCAAAAGCUUAAAAAUUAAGUCUGUUCGACUUUUAAAAUUUUACAUGAUCUGAGU